AUUCCAGCUCCAAUAGUGUAUAUUAAAGUUGUUGCAGUUAAAAAGCUCGUAGUUGGAUUUCUGAUUCAGAUUAUCGGUCGUUGCAUGUAUUUGCAAUCGUACUUGUGUGAUUUGUGUCAUUUUUAGUGAGGAUGUGCUUCUGGCAUUAAGUUGUUAGGGGUAUAGACUUGCUUCGUUUACUGUGAAAAAAUUGGAGUGUUUAAAGCAGGCGUUUGCCAUAUUUGAAUACAUUAGCAUGGAAUAAUAAGAUACGACUUUGGUGGUCUAUUUUGUUGGUUUGCACACCAGAGUAAUGAUUAAUAGGGACAGUUGGGGGUAUUCAUACUUCAGCGUCAGAGGUGAAAUUCUUGGAUCGCUGAAAGAUGAUCUUAGGCGAAAGCAUUUACCAUGGAUGUUUUUAUUG
rnacentral:rRNA from 1 species